UGUGCAUUCAUCUUCUGCAGGGACCAUUUCAGUAGAGCCUUUUAAGACACAUGUUUUGGAAUACAGUCAAAUGCGUGCUGCUGUAUGACCAGCCUAUUUGGAAAUGAUGAAUUUUACAACAUCCCUGAAAGCUUAGGUUUGAGGUGUGUGCCUCUUACUAACAUGAGGUGUCAGUGCUGAUCUCUAACGUUGCUUUUGUGCUACUUGAAUUAUCAGUUGGCAAAGCAAAUUCUUGUCCAUGCAGGGUAGGGCUACACGUAUUUUCAGCAAGGUUUUAAAUUUUUUUCUCUGUUGAGUUAAAAUUAUGUAAAAAGAAAAAUCAACUGAUGUUAAUAAUGCUGACACCUAUUAAAUAAUUACUUUGGUUUUGUGAUCAUUCCAUUUAACUGUUGCAAUUGCCCCAAUUCAUAGUUGAGAAAACUGUGACUUUAAAAAGUCAUGUGAUGCAGGUAUUGAUUAGAUAAACCAGUACGGCUCCUUGCAGUGCUGGGUAACUUGAGCGUGUUGGCUGGAUGAUCUCUUUGUGAUGAUGUUUGUGUUAACGGCCCAGCAUUAGAGUGGGGACUUAAUUGACAAACAGAACUGUUUACAUUUUCUUUGACGUAAUAUGUUUUAAGUUAGAAGAAUAAUUUUUAUACCCAAAGCCACAUUUUCUCAUGUUAAUUGUGUAGGUAUAUUUCUAGUUAUUAUUUGUUCAUUGAUACACUCACUUAAUGAACGCUGACUCUUAGCUGAAUAAGGCUGGAAAUAGGCAAGGCACCUGGCUUUGCGUAUAUAAUCAAAUAGGGGAAUUAAUACAGAAAUAAUUAGAAAAUCAUGUAAGAAAGUCUAAUACAAGUAUUUUACAAAACAACUAGCUUUAUCAUAUAACUUUCAACUUGAACAUGACUUCCUAGUUAGGAAACCAUUUUACCAAGAAUGCAGGAAGUUAAGCCUUCAUAAUAUUUACAAACACUCCAGAGUUAACUUUUUUUUCUGCCCUGUAAAUAUCACCUCAAGUAUUUGGUUUUGCCACAAAACAUUAGAUAAGCCCAAUUUAAACUGUGAUUCCUAAUUCUGGAAAUAUGCAAAUGCUACUAAAAGAUAAGCUUCAUUUUCAGUUCCCUCAUGGCUGUUAGUCACCAGAAGAAGGGAGAGUCAAUUUCCAAUUUAUUUCCAAUGUUAAAACCUUCAUUUUGAACAUUGUUUUUCAUUCUAGUUAUAGCUACAUCUUACCUCUUUGCAAUGGUGGGAGACCCUUCCCUAAAUUGCCCUCUUCUUUAUGGACUGUUAAACUAGCAGAAAGCGCUAAUUAAAUGAUCAUUAGCUUGAGGAUGAUUGAUUACACUUAGAUUUACAUGUUGCCUUUUAUGUUCAAAGAACUACUUAAGCAUCAACUAAUUAAUCUGCAAGUGAAGAAUACUUCCAGCAUUACUCUAUAAUUAGACAAUCUCAGGAGGAAACAAGAGGAUUUCAAAGGGGAGUCAGAUGGUUUCGCAGACCGCUACAUCAUUUAUUUUUUCAUCACUCAGGUAAAAUGGCCAGACCUGAAUCCAGUUGCCAACUCAUUAUUCUUAUUUACAAAUAAGUUCAUUUUUAAAAGGCCAAAGUUGUAUAACAGAUGAGGAGUUGGAAAUAAAAACAAAUGAAUAACCAAAAGUAUUGCCUCUCAUCUCAGCUGUUUGGGUUAUUUUUAACACUUUAUUCCCCAUAAAGAGUGAAAUUAAGCAAGUCUGUUUCAUGACAUGUGGUAGACUAUCCUUUCUCUCUUUUCUUUCCCAGCAUACUCUUAUUUGCAAGUUAGUGCUGUAUACGUGUGUGUUUGUAGGUAGACAGAGAAUUGGUACUUCUUUUGGGCUUUGGUUUCCUAGGUAGUAAGAUAGGACAGAUCCAAAAUAUAUAUGAUGGGGCUGACAAACAGAAUUUUAUAAAUAUUUUUGGGAAGCAAAUGUUUGUGACCAUAAGAAUGAUUGAUUGAUAGAAUGUUGGGAAUCUGUUUGGUGUAAUAAUGCAUACAUUGAAGUAGAAUACAUCUUUAUAAAUUCAUCCCAAAAUUAUAUUUAAAACCAUAAUGACUUUUUCACCAACCUAAUACACAUAGCAAGGACCUUGAAUAGUAACAAAAGACAAUCGUCUUACUCAGGCAUCUCAUCUGUAUGUAUGGGUCAGUAGGCCAGCUCUGACCUAUACAUACAGAUUAGGUAUGAUAUUAAAAUGAUACUAAAAUGUCAAGCUUCUGUUGGUCAGAUGGUUGUUUAUCAAACUUUCCUUGAAGCAUAAGCAGUCUUCUCAGCUUUACAAAAUAGAGGGAUGUAGCAAUAAGCAAAUUCAGUUCAAGUUUCUGUUUUUGGUUGGUUUCAGAUGAGCUUGUGUCGAAUGCUAAAUUUUCCCUAAUUCAGCAACUAGCUUGUAUAUGAAAAUUAAGUGUUUGUGGGGGAAACUGCACCAUUUAUUUUUUUGAAAACUUAUAGCUAUGCAUUGAUUUGUAUUAACUUCUCUCCCCCACUUCAUCACAGUAAAUUAAAGUGAUGAUCUGUUUUUAGGUUAUGAUUUGUUAAGUGAGUGUCUUUGGGAGCCGUCACUUGAUUUCCUCACCAGGAGUAUGCCGUUUCCAACCUGUCAAGGACAGCCUAGAUUUACCAUGCCACACAGGCAUUCUGAUACGAAAUUCAAAAAGUUGGGAUUGUUAGAAGAGCUAGAAAGCACAGAUUGCACUCAGUUGGACAAAGAUAAACAGAAAGCUUGCUUUUUUAUGAAAUUGGAGAUUAAAUGAGUUGAUGGAAUCAAGCCUAGACAGCCACAUAAGCCAGAGUGGAAAAUUAUAGACUAAAAUGCAUCUGAUACUGAAGAGAAUGACUCUCUCCAAAAGCCCUCACUUUUUAUUUGAUUCAAGGAGUCUUUAUAAGCUCAGCAAACCCUAAGAUUUUAACAAGAAAAACAAAAGCCUCCAAACAGCAUGGCUUUCAUCCAGCGCUUUUGUGAUUUACAAAUGACCAGAUUUAAAACUUUAAUCAUCUCACACCUAGGGAUUUUUUGGAUUUGUUUUAGUUUGUAAGGCAUGUCCACAGACAAAAUGACUCACAAAAAACAGAAUCAGCCUAAACCCCCAAUUGGCCCUAUUCCUCUGUCAAAUCAAGACAGUCAGUUUUGCCCUGGGAUUUCAGAGUGUCCCCAAGUGGCCCUUCUAUUGACGCAAUGUUCAUCUUGCAGCUAUAAUCACUGGUUUCUUUUGAAGUGUACUUAAGCUCUUGCUUAAGUAAAUCCAUUCAUGGACAAUUAUUUAAGAGAUUGGAAAAUUCUUUGUUCACGUGAAACCUUUCUUCCUGAGCUUCCUUAUAACUUGAGAUGAUGACUUCUUUGGUCGACUCAAUGCCAUGCUUCCCACUCUGUGAGCCUGUUUUAUAGAGGCAGUAUAACAGGUGAUGUGAAGCCUUGAUAUACAUUUGGAAGGUAUGUGGAAGCUAAGAAAGUGCCCUUUGAGAAUCCCUGGUCACUUCUGAAAUUGUAAUUCCUAGGAAGUUACUGGAGCUAAGACUUCUUUUUAGAGGGAAACAGAAAAAAAAUAAUAGGACUAUGAAGAUCAGGUCUUGAUCCUUUCAGAGUUGCUAAUGCUAAUGUCACUGUUCUUCUUUUUUUUUUUUUUUUCCUUCCAAAGAUAGAAUGACACUAGUUAGAAAAAUAAAAGUCUGUUAUUUAACAUUUCAGAUUAUGCCUCCAAAUCCUACAGAAGUAUAACAACCAUAGAACAGACAAACACCAACAGCAUCAACAACAGAGAAACUCAGUCCAGGAGGAUAUGAAACCCUUUGUAAUAAAGAAAGCAACAUCCAUGAAC
rnacentral:lncRNA from 1 species